GGGCAGUAUAAAGGUAAAACAUACGUAUAUAGUGUUCAGUGACAUCCGCUUUAAUUCAACAUAUUGUCAUAGGUUUAGAAGUGUAUAAGUUUUAGUAGUGAGUUGUGAGUAAAACAUAUAGAGAGAGACAGAGCAAGGAAAUAAAAAAGUUUAAGAAAACCGAAAGCUAGUAGCUAGGCGCCAAAAAGAAAUGGAGAUUAAACAAAACAAAGUAGAUACAGUUUUUGCGACAUUUGGAACAAAACUUGAGGUCAGAAGAGGAUUCUUGAUCAAUUAAAAGAAAGAAGUGAAAUCAUGGUUAAAAGUGUUAAAAAUAUAUUUAACAAGGUGAUAGAAGUAAAUAUACAGAAUAUAUAUCUGUAGAAUAUAUAUGUAUUUUAAUUAAAUAGAAAAGAAGACAGAGAAAGCAUAAACAGCAGGAGAGCAAUAUAUCUAAUAAACAUUAUAAAUAAGAUAUUUGAGAAAGAAAUAGCGAAAUGACGUAGCGUUUAGGAAUGGGCAUUGUAUGCAAUUAUUAUGAAGAUUAUGAAGGAUAGAACUAAGAGAAAAGGAACGUACGUUGUGUUUGGCGAUGCAAAGAAAUGCUUAAUUAACUUGUGACGUGCUUUAUUAACUUGUGACACAAUGGAAUAAGAGGGGUGAUUAAAGAUUGAAUAAAUGUAAUAAAUAGUAUGUUGUUUAUGCAGAUAAAUUAGAAAGCUAAAUAGUAAAUACAUUGAUAGUGAUAAAAUAUAGUGGAAAACAUUGUGAUAUAUAGACUGACACAACCAACAGGAUAUGCAACAGAAUAUGGUAUGUCAUGUCAAGGAGGUUUGGGUAUAUUCACGUAAUUUGCGAGAAGGAAACCAGGUAUAUUAUUGAAGGCUUGUUACUAGUCAAUGCAAUAAAGGAUUGAAGACAGGAGAUUUAUGCUGUUGCAGCAAGUAGUAACAUCAGAUGAAAAGAGAUUGGUACAACAAAUAAUGGAGGAGAACUUGGAUGACGAACAGGGAACAUGGAUAAUGAAAGUAAUUUGAUAAAAUGGUGAAGUAUGGUAUUAACAUGAAAAUAUAGAAAAGGAAAUAAAGAAACAACAAUGGAAAAAUUCAGAAGAAAAAAAAAAUUAAUAAUGUGAUAUCCAGUGCGAAAUAAAGAGAUCAGGCAACUGUAAUGUGAUUAAGUUUCACCGCAUUGUUUAUUGAUUACAAUAAUUCUUAUGGACAAUUGCUGCAUUUAAUUUGAAAUGGGGUGUUAAAGACAUUAUGGACGAACUGCAUAAGUUUACAUCAGAAUUGGUAUGCAUUGUUAAGAAAAAACUGUGAUUGGUUAACAAAUUCUUUUCAUGUGAUAGUUAUUGCAUUUUAAUACAACUAAAGACUUAACUGUUUGUAAUUUAUUGUGGUAUGCAGUGUAACGAAAAAACUGUGUGAUUGGUUAACACAUUCUUUUCAUGUGAUAGUUAUUGCAUUUUAAUACAACUAAAGAUCUAACUGUUUGUAAUUUAUCGUGGUAUGCAGUGUAACGAAAAAACUGUGUGAUUGGUUAACACAUUCUUUUCAUGUGAUAGUUAUUGCGUUUUAAUACAACUAAAGACCUAACUGUUUGUAAUUUAUUGUGGUAUGCAGUGAUAUGAAAAAAUGUAUAAGUCUUUCAAGAUUGGUUUGCAAUAUUUCCUUUCGUGUAAAUGCUGCUUUAUUCAUAUAAACUGAAGUCUUAAAGAUUUGUAAUUUUUUAUAGCAUGUGGUGUAACGAAAAAGCUGUGUAUGUAUUUUAGGAUUACUUACAAUACAUGUUUUUGUACCAUUUGUGGUAAUUGUUUCUUGUGUGCGAUUAUUGCAUUUUAGUUGAAUUGAAGUCUUAAAGGUUUGCAAAGGUGUGUAAGUCUUUUCAAGGUUGCUCACAUGAUUAAUUAAGUUUGCAGGUAUUGGUGUUCAUCAGUUAAUUGUAUUUGACGCUGUAUACGGCUGAAACUUCCUUAUAUUACAAGAUUCUUUGGUUGUUAUUGCAUUUCAGUCAGAUCAUUGUUUUUAUCUUAUCUGUUUUGAAGAUCACCCUAAAAAAUACUUGAAAAGUUUCUAUGCAAGUAACUUGCAAUUCCACUUGACGUAUAAAUACUAAAUACUAACUAGAAUUAUGCAUUGUGUGUACAAAGCUGUUUCAUAUUGACACAUCAGUUUCAUUUUUUUGAAAAGUACGGAGACUAGAAGAAAUUAAAAAGCAAACAAUUUUGAAUUUAAUACUUCGUUGCAAGCAUACUUACUUUUUAUACGUACCGUUGUUUUUGAAGACACUUUUAAUCCCAAAAUUGCUGUCAUUUUUCUAAACUAAAACUCUUCUCUAGCAGACAUUCACAUUAAGACUACGUACCACUCAUUGAAACUUCUAACACAAAUCCACCAUAUACAUACGAAACCUCUGUCCAAUUUGUGUUAAAUGCACACUCAUUGAAUGAUAAAUACAGAGACCGACAAAAGCAACAGGGAAACCAGCGCCAAAGAAUUUUACACUUGAUGUUUUAGAAGUUACAAGCAUACGUACCGUUUAUACGUACCGAAUUGUUUGAAAAAAUCUGCGUCUUUUGGUCACAAAAUUGCUGCCAUUUGUUGGUCAAAUCUGAUCCAUUAUCGCCAGUCCUCAUACCAAUCAAAACGUUAUCAUAAAUACACAUGCUCUUCUUCUCUGUCGAAUUUUCUCUAUCAAAUUUAUGUUUUACAAUUACAUUCAAUUCUGCAAUAAUGUGAUUGAAAGGAUCAACAGUCUAUAAUUAAAAAUGUAAGUUGUAACUAACAUUAAGUUUGAGAAAAUCAAUGUUUGACUUAGCACAAUAUCUUCUUUUAUGCCGGAGAAAUUUUGGUAUUUCAGAUGCCAACUGCCUCUUGGUGAAAAAAUCUUGAAAAAAAAAUGACAAAGAACACGCGAAUGAUAAAAAAAUCCGCUAAAUCGAGAAAAAAAUUUUUUAGUAAAAAAGAAAGAAUUAUAAAUAAACACAAACACAUAAUCGCACGCAAAACCUCUCAAUAGAAUGAAAAUAUCAUAACCCAAGGCCAAUGCUGUAGGCAAAAUCCAAUGAAAGAAACGGUUAUUAUCGACUAAAUUUUCCUUCAGCUCUUGGGUUGUGGUUUGUAAUAUAAUGAAUUGUACUAUGAAUAUUGCCAUUCAUCUCAUCUCAUAUAAACCACAAAUUAA